GACCGAACAUUUGCUACUAAAAAAACAAGGGAUACGAUUAAAAUUACUAACAAGAUCAUAUUAAUUUUAUCAUCUUUUGAUCCCGGUGAUAGUGUGUGUGUUCGGGAUUGAUUCAAACGCAUCUUUACGGCUGUAAAUACGUACCAAAUCAGUAACUACGACAUUCGAAUUGAAGUCUUUUAAAGGAGUGAGCUAGAAAGUGUGCAGACGAUUGGUUAGUUGCAACAUCUACACAAGAGGCAUUACGUGAGACCAUAGCUAACAUUUGUUAUUAUCCUUUGAGCUAACCUCGUGUCCAUGAUGUAUUCUCAAGAGAACCAUGAGAUUCUGUAGGGAAGGCUUGUGGUACCGUGACAAGACAAUUAUACACCACCGAUCUGGAGAGCGUGACCUCUGAGCUAAUCACGUGUUACCCUUGAGCUAACCACGGGUCCUUGAUGUAUCCAUAAGAGAACCAUGAGAUUCCGUAGGGAUGCCUUGUGGAGCCGUGAGAAGACAAGUCUACACCACAGAUGUGGAGAGCGUACCUCUGAACUAAUCGCGUGUUACUCUUGAGCCAACCACAGGUCCUUGCUGUAUCCUUAAGAAUACCAUGAGAUGACGUAGGGAGGCCUUGGGAAGACUUGAGUAGAAAGGUACUCACUCGAUCUAUAAGAACUUGCAUGAUUUUAAUAUCAAACUACUAAGACCAUUGCUUCAUUUAAAUACGACAAUAGACAUACUCUUCACAGUAAUAUUUGCAACAUGUCUGGUUAACACACGGCAUUGCCUCUACAAAAAGGAUGCUGUAAUUCAAACGAAAGCAUACUCGACUCCAAAAUCCUGAUAAAAUACAUCGAUUGCGAAUAUAACUAAUUUCUGUUAAUUUUGUGCUAACCGUGAUCAUGCGUUUGAAUCGUGUUUCCGACGAGAAAAAGAAGAUGACGCCGAAUUUCAAUUCAAUAUCGACUGUUCCAGGUUUUGAAACGACUACUAAUAUAUUAACCGGAGCAGAUUUAUUACGUGAUAAGAAUACAUGUGGAAAAUUUAGUAUCCUUGCCGAUGUUUUGCACAUACGAACAAGUCAAUUAUGCUUUGACAGUUUAGAUUACAAUUCAACAAUCAGUCCGUUUAAAUCGAAGUAAUGCACCAACACAUUCAAAACAGGAUGGUCGAGGCGGAGAGAAGAUACAAAGCUAGGUUUUUGAGAGGUCGAGCUACGAUUAAAAGAUUCCAGAAGGGAGAUAUUGUAAUAAUAAAAAUAUAACCCCAGAAAUCGGAUAUCCCUAUAUUUAAAAUUUUGUGAACUAUACAAAAUCCAGAAAAUAAUUGAGAAUGAUUAAUAUCUUGUAAAGUGAUUUUAGACCGUGGAUGACUUCGAAAUGUGGCACAUGACCAGCUACGAAUGUGGCACAUGACCAGCUACGAUGAGACUUCACAGCAUCUGAGGGACGACACAGAAUUACUAAGCAAGCAGUUAGGUGGACGGUUCGCCUACCUAAUAGUUAUCCGAAAACAAUGCAGAGCACGCAUCAGUAUAACCGUAUCGGCAUGACUUCGGACGAUGAAGCAUCAAUUCUUGAACCUGGCCCAUACUCUACGAGACCUGCAACGGGUACGAGAACAUAACGAAAGCUAAGCAAGAGAGAACACAUCACCAGGCAGGUGCAGAGCACGCACCGCCUGCCAGAAUGGCCGUAUUCGCGCAAGCAGCUUCAAUGACGGAUGCAACAUGGAAAUAACUGGCACCAAUUAUUAUAACACCUUAUUGGUCGUCGUUACUAUUGUUAAAAGUAAAACGAAAUCAAAGAGAAUAGAACUAUGUUUGAAUUCUGGUUUAAAUAUGACGUCUGGACGCACGACAGGGGACUGCAGAGUUCAGCGAGUGCGGAGCAUAAAGAACCUUCGAGAAAUACAAGAACAUUUAGAAGAA